rnacentral:SRP_RNA from 1 species
GCCAGGUGUGGUGGUGCACACCUGUAAUCCCAGCUACUGGGGAGGCUGAGGUAGGAGAAUCACUUGAACCCAGGAGGUGGAGUUUGCAGUGAGCCGAGAUUGCGCCACUGCACUCCAGCCUGGGUGACAGAGCGAGACUCCGUCUCAA